AUUGAACGCUAGCGGGAUGCCUUACACAUGCAUGUCGAACGGAGUGGCGAACGGGUGAGCAAUGUAUCGGAAUGUGCCCCUUAGUGGGGGAUAACUACGCGAAAGCGUAGCUAAUACCGCAUACUAUUGGAGCGGCCGAUAUCGGAUUUUCUAGUUGGUGGGGUAACGGGUCACCAAGGCGACGAUCCGUAGCUGGUUUGAGAGGACGACCAGCCACCCUGGGACUGAGACACGGCCCAGACUCCUACGGGAGGCAGCAGGGGGGAAUUUUGGACAAUGGGGGGAACCCUGAUCCAGCCAUCCCGCGUGUGCGAUGAAGGCCUUCGGGUUGUAAAGCACUUUUGGCAGGAAAGCGGGACCUGCAGAAUAAGCACCGGCUAACUACGUGCCAGCAGCCGCGGUAAUUC
rnacentral:rRNA from 1 species